rnacentral:rRNA from 1 species
CAGCCGCCGCGGUAAUACGUAGGUCUCGAGCGUUGUCCGGAUUUAUUGGGCGUAAAGCGAGCGCAGGCGGUUAGAUAAGUCUGAAGUUAAAGGCUGUGGCUUAUCCAUAGUACGCUUUGGAAACUGUUUAACUUGAGUGCAAGAGGGGAGAGUGGAAUUCCAUGUGUAGCGGUGAAAUGCGUAGAUAUAUGGAGGAACACCGGUGGCGAAAGCGGCUCUCUGGCUUGUAACUGACGCUGAGGCUCGAAAGCGUGGGGAGCAAACAGGAUUAGAUACCCGCGUAGUCCCUGUCUCUUAUACA